AGGAGAGGGCGGCCCCAACACCAGCCCCGCCCCCCCCCCCCCCCAGCAACCCCACUGGUCCUAUCUCGCCCAAGGGAGUGGGCGUGCUGAGCUGAAGAGGGGCCCAGGGCAGAGGGGGGUGCUGAGUCUUCCCCCAGGCCCUCCCCGCUCUCAUCCCUGCCGGAGAGAUUAAUGGCCUCCCUGUUGAUCCGCGGCCCCAGGCAGCUGAGGUCUGAACUGCAGUUCAGCAGGGCCUCCGGGCGGCAGUGACCCGCUCCUUGCCAGGCGUUCAUUCUUCAUCGUCCUCCCGACGAACACUCGGCCAGGGGAGAUCAGAGGCCAAUGCCGUGGCCGCCCGGCCUUGUCCUGUCGUCGCAGUGCAACCGGAUCUAAUAUGGAAAGACAAUCCUCUCAAUGGAGCAGCUGCCGCCCCACUUCACCCCGCCCCUCCUCAAGGUUACAGGUGCUAGUCUUUGGGCGACACCUGCUGGCCAGGUCAGGUACUGCAUCCUCCGGUAGCCCAACCCCAGUGGGGAAAACUUGUCUCCUUGGACAUUCACAGCCACCGUAUGAGUUUGGAUUCCGCCCACCUCCCCCGCCGCCACCCCUGAGAGAGACCUGGCAAUGAGCUUCAGCUGCACAGAAUUCCGGCUUCAUGGAACCUCUCUGGGUUGGCUUCUCAGCCAGUUUCAGAGUUGGGAGCAGAGAGGGGACUGCGGGAGAGAGGCCAUGAUUAUUGAGGGGGCUUCUGCAGCCCCUGACCAACCCUCCUGAGACAGUGGCUUGAACAAGGGCCAUGGAACCCCAGAGACACCAUCUGUCGGGAAGGAGCCUCAGGGACUGGGGCCCUUUGUUCCGUGAGCUUAGGACCAUGAUACUAGAAUCCAAAAUGUUGAGAGGGUAAGUGGCAAAAUGUACCUAGAUAUCCUCGGAGUUAAGCAUAUACAAUUUUGGUUUAAGGAAUGCCCAGGUAAUUUAAUGACACGUACUACCUUUUUAUAUAGGCACCAUAGCCUAUUAAUUGCAAUGAUUCACCUCAUCUCAAGAAGACGGAAGUAUUUUAGAUAUACGUGCAUGCAUUUGAAGUAAAAACUGUUUAUUUUGUGUGUUUUUUGUUUGCUUCUGAGUAUCAGUGCAUGAAAAUACGUAUUUCUGUCUCUUUGCCUGCAUUAGAGAAUGUGCAUAGGUGACGAAACUGAGGCCCAGAAAGAUAAAGUGACUUCUCCAAGAUCACACAGCUGGCUAAGGUGGCAAAAAUGAGGCUAAAACCGAGGAUUUCUGAAUCGUAGUCCAGGACUGUUCAUAUAACAUUAAAAUCAAUUACAAAUUGGAAAAAAAGGUGGGGAAAUCCUUGUUUGUUUUUUUCUCCUCCAAUCAAUGAAUUAGUACUAAAAACGUCAAUCCCAAAUUGGCUAUAUAACCCCAAAUGUCAAGUUUUUACCAUUGACCUGGUUCAGUAUUGAUUCCUUUUAUG